AUGAACGCUAGCUACAGGCUUAACACAUGCAAGUCGAGGGGCAUCAGGAAGAAAGCUUGCUUUCUUUGCUGGCGACCGGCGCACGGGUGAGUAACACGUAUCCAACCUGCCCUUUACUCGGGGAUAGCCUUUCGAAAGAAAGAUUAAUACCCGAUGGCAUAAUGAUUCCGCAUGGUUUCAUUAUUAAAGGAUUCCGGUAAAGGAUGGGGAUGCGUUCCAUUAGGUUGUUGGUGAGGUAACGGCUCACCAAGCCUUCGAUGGAUAGGGGUUCUGAGAGGAAGGUCCCCCACAUUGGAACUGAGGCACGGUCCAAACUCCUACGGGAGGCAGCAGUGAGGAAUAUUGGUCAAUGGGCGCUAGCCUGAACCAGCCAAGUAGCGUGAAGGAUGAAGGCUCUAUGGGUCGUAAACUUCUUUUAUAUAAGAAUAAAGUGCAGUAUGUAUACUGUUUUGUAUGUAUUAUAUGAAUAAGGAUCGGCUAACUCCGUGCCAGCAGCCGCGGUAAUACGGAGGAUCCGAGCGUUAUCCGGAUUUAUUGGGUUUAAAGGGAGCGUAGGUGGACUGGUAAGUCAGUUGUGAAAGUUUGCGGCUCAACCGUAAAAUUGCAGUUGAUACUGUCAGUCUUGAGUACAGUAGAGGUGGGCGGAAUUCGUGGUGUAGCGGUGAAAUGCUUAGAUAUCACGAAGAACUCCGAUUGCGAAGGCAGCUCACUGGACUGCAACUGACACUGAUGCUCGAAAGUGUGGGUAUCAAACAGGAUUAGAUACCCUGGUAGUCCACACAGUAAACGAUGAAUACUCGCUGUUUGCGAUAUACAGUAAGCGGCCAAGCGAAAGCAUUAAGUAUUCCACCUGGGGAGUACGCCGGCAACGGUGAAACUCAAAGGAAUUGACGGGGGCCCGCACAAGCGGAGGAACAUGUGGUUUAAUUCGAUGAUACGCGAGGAACCUUACCCGGGCUUAAAUUGCAGUGGAAUGAUGUGGAAACAUGUCAGUGAGCAAUCACCGCUGUGAAGGUGCUGCAUGGUUGUCGUCAGCUCGUGCCGUGAGGUGUCGGCUUAAGUGCCAUAACGAGCGCAACCCUUAUCUUCAGUUACUAACAGGUCAUGCUGAGGACUCUGGAGAGACUGCCGUCGUAAGAUGUGAGGAAGGUGGGGAUGACGUCAAAUCAGCACGGCCCUUACGUCCGGGGCUACACACGUGUUACAAUGGGGGGUACAGAAGGCAGCUAGCGGGUGACCGUAUGCUAAUCCCAAAAUCCUCUCUCAGUUCGGAUCGAAGUCUGCAACCCGACUUCGUGAAGCUGGAUUCGCUAGUAAUCGCGCAUCAGCCACGGCGCGGUGAAUACGUUCCCGGGCCUUGUACACACCGCCCGUCAAGCCAUGGGAGCCGGGGGUACCUGAAGUACGUAACCGCAAGGAUCGUCCUAGGGUAAAACUGGUGACUGGGGCU
rnacentral:rRNA from 1 species